GCGAUGAAAAGUGAAAUUUAAAUAAUCAACCUAUGAGUGUAGAUGUUCAAGUGGCGACAUAUUCGGACGCGGGUUCAAAUCCCGCCGACUCCAUUA
rnacentral:tmRNA from 1 species